GCAAUAAUCAGGUGAAGUUAGGAACGCUUUUCUUAUGUUCCAAAUAUUUUUGAUGUUUCAAUUCCGUAAGUAUCAGGACGCGUAUCUGUUUAACCCCGCGAUAUCCGAUAUUCCGAUAUCCUCAGUAUCGACCGAUGUGCAAUAUCGGCUCGAGCCGAUAUUGCAAUAUUCAUCACUUAUAAUAUUAUAGGUAUGCUGACGAUUAUUUGGUUCUCAUGGAUAAAUCACAUAAUCGUUUAAGAAUAAUAGUCGGCUGGGGCGAGGAACGUUGGGUUACCAUAAUAAAUGAACGCAAAACAGAGUAUUUAUACAUGGUCGUGAAAAAAUGAGGUAGUGCG